UAACAUACAAGCUAUUUAUAACACUCUCUAGAUAUAAGGUUUGUUUGUUGUCCCAGCUCCGUUCCCGUCCCCUCUCACAGGGUUCUUGUUUUCCUCUUUCAGUUGUUAUUUUUCAUCUGAAGGGAAACAGACAAUUAAACAUAUUGUAUAUGUUGGUUUUAGGUAUCAGUUUGUGCCACAGAUAAUCUUCUUGAACUGCCUU
rnacentral:misc_RNA from 1 species